CGGCAUGCUGUACUCCGAGUUGUAAAACAUCUCCACUUUGACCACGGGCGGGGAGGAGGGCCGGGACCAGCCGAUCACAUCCUUGGUGCACUGCCCCAGGGAAUAUCAUACAGAAUAUUUCAUAAAUUACACAAGAUCUUAGAAGAGUUAAAGGAUAACAGAAGCAACAGAAAGCCCAGACUCCUCCACGCAAGCCAAGGUGCAUCAAAAUGAGCCUGCAGUCUGUAAUCCCUGAAUACGCUCACGGCUUCCAUGAGCGGCGAUAACUAGAAAAAUUAACGACACAACGACGGCGACGACCAAAAAAAUUCCUGCACGGAGUCUCUGACGCGUGUGCAUGUACAGUAAACAGUGAAGGCAGUGAAGCUGCUGGCAGAGUUCGCCCCUGAUUUUGGCCCCUGGCCUCCGCUGUCAAACCCGAGGCCGAAGAAAAAUCCAGCUGUAAACGAAGCAGGUUGUCAGCUUCUCAAAUCUGCUGAUGCAAGAGGGGGUGAAGUCCUGCAUUUUAACACAAAAUAUGCAACACCUUCCCCAUUUGUCAGGAGUUUUUUUUAAGUGAUAAAAGAGAGGAAACAUCGUUCUCCUCAGGCCGCCGCGUCCACAUGCCUGAUUGAUGAUUCGACAAGUUCCUUUUUCCCAGCUUGAAAAAAAGCCACAUGAGUGAGGCGCACAGAGUCACCCGUUGUCGUCCAGGUUGUACAGGAGCACCUGGUGGUUGGGCGCGAGGCUGUACAGACAGGUGGCUGAUGGGUAACAGGGCACCAGGCGGUAAUGUGGCAGCUCCUCCAAGCCGAACGGAGGCGAGCAGCAGUCCGUCACCAGCACCUUCACACGCUUUCUGUCCGGGUACGACAGCCUCUGCUGUCCCUCGGCAGGGCCCCUCCCUCCCUGCCUGCACCUGACCUCCACCUCGUCCUCACCCUCCUCCUCCUCCUCCUCUUCUUCCUCAUCCACCUCCUCUUCCUCCUCUUCUUCUUCCGCCACCUCCUCCUCCUCGUGGUGGAUCUUCCUCAGCAGGUUGUUGAUGAGGACGGAGCGGCGCAGGUAGGCCUCGGGGUCCUCCAGGAACCGCAGCUUCUCCAGGGACAUUUUCAGGAUGCAGCUCCGGUCCUCCUGCAGUAUCAGGAAAACCACAACAAAAGACUGAAAGAGGAGGAGGAGGCCAGAGAGAAAAAGCUGCUGUUACAAAUGCCAAACCUACACACAGCUCGGGGAGAUAUUUUUAUUUUAUUAUAUUACAUUUAUCACAUCUGAUGUACAUUACAUCAGAUAUCGACUGGUCGGUGUCAUCCAAAUCUGAUAAGACUGUAGUUCCCCUCUUCAUUUAUUAAUUUGACUGGUCAGUGAUGUCUUGAAAUAAACCUUCUUCACUUUGAAGUGUAAUGCUGUGCAGAGCCUCUCUACCACUGACCAGGUGAAAAGGGUCUCUCUGCCUUAAGA